UGGAGCAUGUGGUUAAUUCGAAGCAACGCGAAGAACCUUACCAGGCCUUGACAUCCCGGAGACCCUUAGGAAACUAGGGGGUGCUUCCAUCUGGAAGAAUCUGGAGACAGGUGCUGCAUGGCUGUCGUCAGCUCGUGUCGUGAGAUGUUGGGUUAAGUCCCGCAACGAGCGCAACCCUUGCCUUUAGUUGCCAGCAGUUCGGCUGGGCACUCUAAAGGGACUGCCGGUGUUAAACCGGAGGAAGGUGGGGAUGACGUCAAGUCCUCAUGGCCUUUAUGACCAGGGCUACACACGUACUACAAUGGCCGAUACAAAGGGCAGCGACACUGCGAGGUGAAGCCAAUCCCGUAAAAUCGGUCUCAGUCCGGAUUGGAGUCUGCAACUCGACUCCAUGAAGUUGGAAUCGCUAGUAAUCGUGGAUCAGCAUGCCACGGUGAAUACGUUCCCGGGCCUU
rnacentral:rRNA from 1 species